UGUGAAUAAGUGAUGAAGGGACAAAAUCUACUGUGAAUUCCACACUUGAAACUUGUAAUAAAAUUCACUUGAGUUGAUUUGUCUUUGUUACUCCAUGAAUGAAUGAAUGAACAAAACAAACACCAUAGAUAGCACGCUAACUGAGCCGUGUCUUACGCAAGAAAGACACAACACAAUGUCAAUGUUCCAGUCCUGGACUGCUACUGCUUGAUUUCUGUUUCCGCACGUCUUGUAAACUUGGAGUCAUGUCCCUUUUCUUUUCUUUUCUGUUCUCUGUAGUCUGUAGUCGAUCAUAUCUGUUCUCACCAUCAAACAACACAUCACAUGGUGCAGUUCUAAUUUUCAAGAGAUGAUUUCUAUUUUACAGAAACCCUAGCUAAGUUAUUUACUUAUCCAUAGUCCGUAUAUAUAUUGACUAGUUUUGAGUUAAAUGUGUUAGUAUAUCAUAAUGUUCAAUGUUUCGAAACCAAGCAAGGAAGUGGCAAAGAAUUUAUUCAAACAUGCUGCAAAUAAAAUCAUAUAAUAUAGCACCACCACAAACAAACAAAUCCAAUUGCAGAGUGUAGUUUGACUGUUGACAUACUUAUACUGUAUAUGUAGACAUGAUCAUGAUUCAUAGUUUUCUUAUAUAUGUUCCACUCAACUAGCUCUUCGUCGUGCAUCUUAUCACUAGCCCAACCAAGUUGGUCCAAAGUCCAAACCAAAUAAACCACAGUCCCAUAGAUAUCUGAAUCUGUGGGAACAAUAUGUAGAUCAAGCCAUCAUCAUCGUCAUCUUUCUUAUAUACAACAUGACUGGCUGACCUGAUUAUAUGUGUCGGCCAAUAUUGUUUGGCUUGUUUAUUCCUUGCGCACAUUAUAAGGUUUAGAUGCAUUUGAUAACUUCACCACUACGCUUCCACAAUCCACAUAUAUACAACGUGGUUGUCAAGUAUCCAAUCUGAUGAUAUUCUGACUCAUUUCACUUCGUCUAUACUCUAUAACGUCUCUAUUUGUUAUUACAUCAACAUCAUGGGGUUCUGCCACGUAUAUAUUAAUACACGCGGCUCUACUCUUCUUCCAUUAACGCGGCAAAUCAUCAAAUCUAUUGUGGACUUGUUGGAUGUAUAGAACAAGUGUAGAACACAAAAUGCAAGAUUGCAAGAACCCAAGUUUAUAUAAUUUGAAACAAAACUCUUGUGUUGAAAAUAAAAUCCAAACCAUGGAAUGAACUUUUUCUAAAAGUGAGAAUAAACAAAAACAUUCUUUGGAUUAGAAAGAAAACAGAUAGUACUAAUUAAAGUAAUUAAACUAAACAUUAUUGACUUUUUAUUCUUUCUUGUUGUGGACUUGUGCUUGUGGCUUAGCCAGUAUUUAAGUCACACAGAGAGAACUGAGAAGACAACUGUUAUUCUUCAAGUCUGAUCAUCUCUUUCACCACAACUACAUCACUAUUUGAACAACUUUUAACAUUAAAGAAGCCCAAUUAAUUUAGAGUGAAACUAUCACUUUAUUUUUUGGAUUCAAGUUCAAGUCUUGAAGAUCUCUGUUUCAUGGAAAUUCAUAUACUAUAUGCUUUCUAAAAGGUACCAUAUUUUCUUUUUCAUGAUUUCUUUUUGGGAUCUCUGAAAAACCCAACUUUUUUCUAAUCUUUUCUUCAUUCCCAAUUCAGCCAUUUUCGGAACUCUUCUGAUAAAGCUCUGUUUUCAAAAACCAACUCAUUUCAACUUUUUAUAAAGACCCAUUAUAUUUGUAAUUCUAAAGUGACUUUUUAGAAAACAAACAAGUUUCAAUUCAAUUCCCUUGUUUUGAAAAAAAAAAAUGCAAGAUCCAUCAACCUUUCUACCUAUCAAACCAAACUUUCCAGAACAAGAACACUUGAAAUGCCCACGUUGUGAUUCAUCAAACACCAAAUUCUGCUAUUACAACAAUUACAAUCUCUCUCAACCUCGCCAUUAUUGUAAGAAUUGUAGACGUUAUUGGACUAAAGGGGGUGCUCUUAGAAACAUACCAAUUGGUGGUGGAACUCGAAAGGCAGCAAAACGUUC
rnacentral:lncRNA from 1 species